rnacentral:lncRNA from 1 species
UCUCACCCCCAAUUUCAUAUCUUCCCUUUAAUCCACCAAAAUCACAUGUUACUAAUUUUCUUAAAGAAAUUCAAUUUGAGCUUUCAUCGGAGUGAAUUCAAUUUCCAAACAUUUUCACAAUUGUUAAAAACAGUCGUUUCAAUUGUUUAAUUGUAGGUUCCUGAAGGUCUAAGUAAUCAUGUGAGUUAAUUCAAGAAAGCUCAAUCAAACUGGUAUAACCAAGUAUCAAACGCAUGGAGGAAAUCUAAACCUCCACCAAACACACCUGAAGAAGCUUCGAGGCUUGUAAGUCACACCCUACAGCGACACCCAACACCCGAUAUGGAGGGCUUAUGACCGUUCUACGUUCUCCGUCUUCCACAUCUUCUGGUUGAUGCGCCUUCACUCGUUGACGGGAUCAAGUUUGAGUUGCACACGCUUCCGGUGGAUGCAAAGGCAGUAGCAGAUGGGGAUACUGUAACAGUCUAUGUUAGUACCUCGGAUGCCCGGGAGUCAUCGCGUGUUCCCCAAGAGGUACAAAUGGCUGCGGUUGAACGUAUUGAAGCACUGACUGAAAGGAACUACACCAAAGCAGAUUCAUUGCAAAAACGAAUCACAGAUGUAGAACUUUUAGGUUUUUUACAAGGGUAAAGAAGAUACAGGGGCAUUUUAGUCUUUUAACAGAAAACUAACAGAAAAUAUGGAUGGUGUUAGAAAUUUGGACUCAAAUGGUUAAGGAAAAUGCUUAUAGGGACUCAGGUCGUUAAACUUUUUGCUUUUGUACUCAACUAGUUAAAAUCCAUAAAACACAGGGACU